CUCGGCGGAUCAGCCCGCUCCCGGUAAAACGGGACGGCCCGCCAGAGGACCCCUAAACUCUGUUUCUAUAUGUAACUUCUGAGUAAAACCAUAAAUAAAUCAAAACUUUCAACAACGGAUCUCUUGGUUCUGGCAUCGAUGAAGAACGCAGCAAAAUGCGAUAAGUAAUGUGAAUUGCAGAAUUCAGUGAAUCAUCGAAUCUUUGAACGCACAUUGCGCCCGCCAGUAUUCUGGCGGGCAUGCCUGUUCGAGCGUCAUUUCAACCCUCAAGCCCAGCUUGGUGUUGGGACUCGCGAGUUAAAUCGCGUUCCCUCAAAUUGAUUGGCGGUCACGUCGAGCU
rnacentral:rRNA from 1 species